UGGGGAAUCUUGCACAAUGGGGGAAACCCUGAUGCAGCGACGCCGCGUGAACGAUGAAGCCCUUCGGGGUGUAAAGUUCUUUCGGCAGGAACGAUAAUGACGGUACCUGAAGAAGAAGCUGCGGCUAACUACGUGCCAGCAGCCGCGGUAAUACGUAGGCAGCAAACGUUGUUCGGAGUUACUGGGCGUAAAGAGUACGUAGGCGGUUUGCCAAGUUUGGUGUGAAAUCUCCUGGCUUAACUGGGAGGGUGCGCCGAAUACUGGCAGACUUGAGUAUUGGAGAGGAAAGCGGAAUUCCUGGUGUAGAGGUGAAAUUCGUAGAUACUGGCAGGAACACCGGAGGCGAAGGCGGCACCUGGAUCACAACUGACGCUGAUACUCGAAAGCGUGGGUAGCAAACAGGAUUAGAUACCCCCGUAGUCCCUGAGCGGGCUGGCAAGGCGCAU
rnacentral:rRNA from 1 species